rnacentral:rRNA from 1 species
GAUGAACGCUGGCGGCGUGCCUAAUACAUGCAAGUCGAGCGAACGGACGAGAAGCUUGCUUCUCUGAUGUUAGCGGCGGACGGGUGAGUAACACGUGGAUAACCUACCUAUAAGACUGGGAUAACUUCGGGAAACCGGAGCUAAUACCGGAUAAUAUUUUGAACCGCAUGGUUCAAAAGUGAAAGACGGUCUUGCUGUCACUUAUAGAUGGAUCCGCGCUGCAUUAGCUAGUUGGUAAGGUAACGGCUUACCAAGGCAACGAGGCAUAGCCGACCUGAGAGGGUGAUCGGCCACACUGGAACUGAGACACGGUCCAGACUCCUACGAGAGGCAGCAGUAGGGAAUCUUCCGCAAUGGGCGAAAGCCUGACGGAGCAACGCCGCGUGAGUGAUGAAGGUCUUCGGAUCGUAAAACUCUGUUAUUAGGGAAGAACAUAUGUGUAAGUAACUGUGCACAUCUUGACGGUACCUAAUCAGAAAGCCACGGCUAACUACGUG